ACUCAAAUGAAUAGACGGGGGCCCGCACAAGCGGUGGAGCAUGUGGUUUAAUUCGAUGCAACGCGAAGAACCUUACCUACCCUUGACAUCCUCGGAACCCUCUGGAGACAGAGGGGUGCCUUCGGGAACCGAGAGACAGGUGCUGCAUGGCUGUCGUCAGCUCGUGUUGUGAAAUGUUGGGUUAAGUCCCGUAACGAGCGCAACCCCUGUCCCUAUUUGCCAGCACGUGAUGGUGGGAACUCUAGGGAGACUGCCGGUGACAAACCGGAGGAAGGUGGGGACGACGUCAAGUCAUCAUGGCCCUUACGGGUAGGGCUACACACGUGCUACAAUGGCCGGUACAAAGGGAUGCAAGACGGCGACGUGGAGCGAAUCCCAGAAAGCCGGCCUCAGUUCGGAUCGGAGUCUGCAACUCGACUCCGUGAAGUCGGAAUCGCUAGUAAUCGUGAAUCAGAAUGUCACGGUGAAUACGUUCCCGGGCCUUGUACACACCGCCCGU
rnacentral:rRNA from 1 species